AGUAAACUUUCCACAGAUGCCCCCCUUGGCCUUUCGUGCCUGCUCUCAUCACCACCUCUGCUUGCCUCUGCCAGAUGAGUUCGCAACCUUUGCCCUGUGCUCUUUGAUCCGUAGGUGUUUGUUUAAUGACUGAAAUACGUCUGUAAUAUUUUUUUUUGUCUUCAGCUCCCUUUUCCCCAGAUGUUGCUUCCUUCCAAAUACAUGCCUCUUCCUGCCUCUGCAAACACUCGGGAGGCAAAGGGCUGCGUGGCUGCCACCAAGCCACUCCUGGCAUCAGCCUGGGUCAGGACUGCACUGGUGCGGCUAUGCUCGGGCGCUUGCUUCUUGCCUGUGGUUCAGAAUUACCCUCUUGCCCAUGAGGACGGUGAGGGCUCGAAGCAGCAGAGCUGCAGGGCCAGCUGGAUGUUGUCCAUCCGGCAGGAUGGGCUGUCCUGGCAGGGCACGCAGGGAAGCGCCGCAGCAUCUGUCCGCGCGCUGCUUGCCAGCGCCGUUAGUCCCUUUUAUGAGGCACCAGCCCCUCUGCAGGCUGCUGGUUGUUCCUGCCCGCUGCCAUAGAGAGGAUGGAGGAGGGAUGCGGCAGCUGGGGAGCUGCAGUCAGCUCCAGCCUGAUGAGCAGCCUCCCCAGCACACAGCCUGGGGAAGGCACCGUGCGCGCUUUCAGGGGAUGUGAAAAAUUAAUUUGACAGGCUAAAAGCAUAAGCAGAAAGAGUCUUGGCUGUUGUUUAGCAGAGCCCACAACUGGGUUUUCUCUCUAGUUUGCAGUGUGGUUCUCUGGGAGUAGUUACCUAGUGGCGCAGGAGCAGCAGGAUUUCUCAGGACCAGUUAAAAAGGGCUUUUGAAGGGUUAUUUCUGUUGGGUUUGAGGGGGUUUUUGCCCUCUCCACUCAGAGAAGCCCCAUUCUCCCAUGGCUUUGGUCUUGCCCUGGGUAUUGGGAGUAUUCCUGCCCUGAGCAGGGCAAAGUGGUUUGGUUUCUCCCCUGCCUUUUGUACCAGCACUUGGGAGGUGGGUUCAGCCGAUGGCAGUAACGAUGCUGGUGAGCUGCAGCGCUUGGAUCUUGCUCGUGGCACUGUCCUCCCCCAGGGAUGGGUCUUCCCCAGCAGCCAUGAGCAGGCAGGUUAUUUAGGAUGCAGACGUCUUUGCUGUGGUGGAACAGCCUCGUUGCUGUUGCUGGAGCAGCCACUGCAUCCUUUAUUUCUCUUGGCUUAAUCUCCAUGCUCUCGUACAGACUCUCUCAAGCCCCUUCACUGCCACAUCUGCCUCCCCCCAGCUGUGGUUCGGAGCAGAGCUGCUGGCGGCGGCUGGAGGGGAAGCUGCUGCAUAUGGGGUGAGUGCAGGGCUCUGCGCGUCUGCCUCGCUGGGUGCAGGUGCUGCCGGUCCCCUCCCCAUCUGUCACAUCGUCUCCUUUGUAUUGUGACACUUUCCUGCUUGGAGAAGGAUCAAUCUAACAGCCUGGAAGGAAGCCGGCUGUGCUGUGUUGUGCCUGCUCCUGGUGCUGGCCCUGCCUUUCCUGCCCUCCAUCCCAACAGGAGCUGUCAUGAGAGCAGCGGCGGGGGAGACUGUGGAGUUGCACAUUCGGCUCCUGGAGGGGACAUCAUCUGUCUGGGUGAUAUUUGUGACAGCCUAGGGAAGGAGCAGGGAAUCCUUUGACCUUUCACUGGGUGCGUGAGGACAAAGUUCAGUGGUGGUUCUCGCGGGAGAUUUCCUUGGGUCUGGGCAAAGCUUCACUGAAGCCUCCCUUGUGCAUUGCUCCAAAAUCUCCCUCCAGCAGCCGGCGGCUGGAGGAGCGCGGAGAAGCGGGCAAAGGGAUGUGUCAUGGUGCGAGGUGAGAGUCCUCAAAUCACUGGCUGAAAGAGAAGGGGACCCUGGGGCUGCUGCCUUAAUUUUAGCCUUUUCCUAAAGGUUCCUGUGUGGUGUUUUAUGCUCACCAGCUGGUAGAGCAGAGGAGCCUCCUGAUCACUUUUGGGGUGCAGGAGGAACAGGCAGGCAUGUUAAAUACGAAGCCUAUGAACCCUGGAGGCGACACAGUGUUGGAGUGGGAGACCAAAGCAUGGAGCGAGUAUGAACUCACUGCCUUUCUCCUGCCAACAACCCCAUGGCUUGGCGAUGCGGUGGUCCAACACGUGCUUCUGGACAGUCUGGCCAUGCCAGCUCCUUGCUGGGUGCUGGUCUCCCAGACCUCACGCUCCGGGGAAUGCCCCAUUUCACUCUUUUGCUUGGCCUCAGUUUUCAUUUUCUCAUUUGCGAUGGUGGAAGAGUUUUGCAGACAGCCUUUUGUGUCCCGUGGGCUGCAGGUUGGCACCCGCUGCACCAAGGCAUUGGAAGCAUCUGGUUCCUGCCCCCAGUUUCAACCUGAUCCGUUUGUGGAUCUGUGGCACGGUGAC